GAGUCCUCCUUGAUCUGUAAUGGGAAUGCCCCUUACUCAGUAUCCAGUGGAUAUGGCCAUGGGUCAAGACACUCUGCUUCAUGGAGAAACCUUGUUUGCUAUUCCCAACACAGAUUUGGACCACAUAGCCCUUCCAUUUCUCACCAUCAGCAGCAACUUCUAUGACCGUUGACUUCUCAUGAAAGCUCUGUACCUUCAGGACUCUGUUCUUCAAGAGAGCAGCUCCGUGAAGGGGAGGAUAACCACUGGACUUCUAGAAGGCACAUCACUAGUGAGUUUUGAUUUCAUUUUUUUCUUUCACACAAUGAGACUAUUACCAGUGUGAACUAUAGUCCAACUGACCUGACCCCAUGCUUUAUAGUUCAGACUAGAACACAGCUACAUGCCAUGAAAGAGGUAGAGUUAGCAAAGAUGCUGGGAAAUGAAAAGAAUAAAGUCAUUUAGUGAAAUGGAGAGCCUCCCAAAUAGCACAGACUUUUAAGUGUCCCAAACUUUAAUUCCAUGUCCAAAGACAAAAAGAAGUGAGAUUUUUCUUUUCUUCUUUUUUUUUUUUUUACUAGUUACAGCUUCCAUUUCACACAUACAGAUUUAGGUAAGUCUGUUUCCCAGUAUUUUAGAAAAUUGUGAAAUAUGCUUACUAAAAUUGAAAUCCAUACUCCCAUAACCAGUUUUAACAUUUUGGUGGAUAAUAUAGUACAGUUGUUUCUAUCCAAAGAGCUGGUUUUCACUGUUUAGAUAUAUGUACAUAUACUUGGCCAAAAAAGAUCUGGAUCCUGUAGUACAUGCCACAGCACCUAUAUACCAUGCAUGCUUUCUUUCAGCCAAGACUUUGUCCUUCUCUUCAAGGCCUUGUGAAUAAGAAAGUGUUUAUAGUGGUCUAUAAGAUUCCAAGAUGUGGCCAUUGACUUCUCCCAAGAAGAAUGGGGAUUCCUGAACCCUGCUCAGAGAAAAUUAUACACAGCUGUGAUGUCAGAGAAUUAUCAGAAUGUGGUCUGGCUAGAAUUCCAGUAAUGCUACAAUGUGUGACUGUUCCUUUGAGUCUGGUGUCUCCUUCACCUGGAAAGACAUUCCUCAUCUUAUUGCUUGAUCACCCGGGAGGGGACAGGAAUCAUCUCUACAUGGGGUCAUCUUGGCACGGGACAAGCUCUUUUGGUCCUUUGUGAGUAUUCAGAGAAUAUGCAUAGAACACAUCAAUUUUCAAUGUUUUUUUUAAAUUUAUUUUUGUUUCAAGUUUUUAUUUAAAUUUUAGUCAGUUAACAUAAGUGUAAUAUUGGUUUCAGGAGUAGAAGUUAGUGAUUCUUCUACUCCUGAAACCAAUAUUACCCAGUGCUCAUCCUAAUAGCUAUCACCCAUUUAGCCCAUCCCCCGCCCACCUCCCUGCCAACAACCCUGUUCUCCAUAGUUAAAGAGUUUGUUUUACAGUCCCUCCCUCCCACCAUUUGUUUUCCCCAAUGUUCAUCUGUUUUGUUUCUUAAAUUCCACAUAUGAGUGAAAUCACAUGGUAUUUAUCUUUCUCUGAUUGACUUGUUUCACUUAGCAUAAUACACUCUAGCUCCAUCUACGGCAUUGCAAAUGGCAAGAUUUCAUUCUUCUUGAUGGCUGAGUUAAUAUUCCAUUCUAUAUAUGUAUACACCACAUCUUCUUUUAGACACAGGAGGAGGGAGAAGCAGACUCCAUGCCAGGAGCCCGACGCGGGACGCGGGACUCGAUCCCGCGGCUCCAGGGAUCACGCCCUGGGCCAAAGGCAGGCGCUAAACCGCUGAGCCACCCAGGGAUCCCCUACACCACAUCUUCUUUAUCCAUUCUUCAGUUGAUGAACAUUUGGGCUCUUUCCAUAAUCUGGCUAUUGUUGAUAAUGCUGCUAUAAACAUCAGGGUGCAUGUGCCCCUUCGAAUCAGUUUUUUCUUUUUUUUUUUUAAUUUUUAUUUAUUUAUGAUAGUCACACACACAGAGAGAGAGAGAGAGAGAGAGAGAGAGAGAGAGGCAGAGACAUAGGCAGAGGGAGAAGCAGGCUCCAUGCACCGGGAGCCCGACGUGGGACUCGAUCCCGGGUCUCCAGGAUCGCGCCCUGGGCCAAAGGCAGGCGCUAAACCACUGCGCCACCCAGGGAUCCCGAUUUAUUUAUUCGUGAGAGACAUAGAGAGAGAGGCAGAGACACAGGCAGAGGGAGAAGCAGGCUCCAUGCAGGGAACCUGACGUGGGACUCGAUCCUGGAUCUCCAGGAUCCUGCCCCGGGCUGAAGGCGGCGCUAAACCGCAGAGCCACCCAGGCUGCCCUCACUUUUGUUUUCAAUCCCCAUUGCAAACAUUGCUUACAUCCUAUCAGUUGAAUUUGGGCAUUUUACUUCUACAGAUUGUAGACCCAAGGAGUGAGUUUGUUUGUUUGUUUGUUUGUUUAUUUAUUUAUUUAUUUAUUUUUGAACCAAGGAAUUUAACACAUGCUCGGGGGUGCAGCAGCUACCAGGAGAUUAACUGUUCUUUGAUGGGAGCUUGAAAAGGGCAAGGAGUAAGAGUAAGAGAGGGUAGUCCGGAUGGUGGAAGCAAUGAGGAGGCUUUUUUUCCCCCUCCAUUUUCAGCACCCAGCACUGUCUCCCGCCAGAGGGCCAUGGACGAGGGAUUCUGAAUCCAACCCAACUGUAAAAGUUUAGGUCCCUUCUCUGCCUAAAAUUCCUCAGCAGGCUCAACUUUUUGAAUCUGUAAUUUUAUGGCUUUCAUCAAAUUGAGAAAAUUUUAGUCAUUAUUCUUCAUUUUUUUCUCCUUUGCUCUCUCUCUGAUGCUUUCAGAUAACUGUUUUUCAUAUUUUGUGCAGAGUUUAUAUUUUUAUCUGUGGAAUUGGCCUAGAUCUAGUGAAAGAUGCUAGAAGCUCUGGAGGGUAGACCAAGAUGUCGGGGUAGGAGAAUCUAAUGUAUUCCAACCCAAAUGAUUUCUGUAGUUCUCCAAUAACAAAUACAGUAUACAAUCCUCCGUGGUUCGUAUAUUCUCACAAAUCUGAGCAUCUCUGACCCCAGAAAUGAAUGACACUUAGUUACCAGGCAUCCACACUACACCAACAGGAGGGUCAGUCGGCCAAGACUUGAGAUGAAGAAUUUCAUCUUACAAAGAAUUUGCUCAAUAUUCAGGACUUUGAGCCCAACAACAGCGGUUUGUUCAAAUUACUUGUGGUAAUCAAUAAUUUUGACAAGUAUUUAAAAGUGGACUAAAG
rnacentral:lncRNA from 1 species